CCUCCUUUUUUCACAUUUUGAAAACGUACAUUUUCUCAUCCAAUGGAGAGAGACCUAGUCCUACUCUGUGACCGUUCCCCAGUUGACGUCACAUUGGUAGGAAGUUCUCCCUGCAAAUACUGAACCACCACCCCCACAAUGAUCCCGAACCAAAACUGGACUUCCGCCAUUUCCCCCCUCACUCACCAUGAACAGACGAGCACGGCAGCGCCCAAGUCCUCCCAUAGAAAUAGUUUGGUUCUUAGGUGUUCUAACCAACACCGAAGUCUAUUCACUUUACCAAGGGAUCAACAAGUGAGGACUUUGUGGGUCACUUUUAUUUUUAACGGACCGGUGCCAGAAACACUGCCUCAGCAUUUAUACGCAUGUGCAUUUCAAACGAGGGUGCGUACAAUGCUGGAUUUGUUUCACGGCCCCUGUUGGGAAAAAAAGGAUCUAUUCCUACAGUCCGUCAUCCACUCACUGAAUACCUUUUGUUUUGAUGAGGUGAUGGUGAGGACAGCCACAGCUUCCAUCUGGUAGAGGACUGCUUCUGCUCAGUCUUCCAAAUAGUGAUGAGAACAAGGAUCACCACAUCUCCCUGGUCAUCUAUUUACAACUAUACCUGUCCUGCUGCAGAAACAAAUCUCCAACAUAACCAAGUGUACCCCCUACCCAGGACAUGGACUGUUUACCCUACUUCCAUGUAUUUUGUCUGCAAGGCCUUGCAAAAGCUUCUGUUCUCAAACCCCCAGACUUCUUAAUUAACUCAGUAACCUAUACAUUGCACAUUGGAGUUGAAGGUAACAGUUUGUUCUAGCUUUGGAGUUGUGGUGCAUUUUUUUGGUUGACAAUAAAGUUGGCUUUACUAUUA